GGUUUAGAUCUGUGUAUUUGUUCAUCUCCACGACUGUUUUUAUAAAUCAAAUUAUUUCAUCCCUUUUCUCUGCUAUAUAUUGAAUCAAAUUAAGGCUACAUCAUAUAGGAUUUCAUCUCAGUAGCCAGAAAGGAUUUAGACUUGAUCGGGUUUUACCGCUGACUUUUGAAUCUAACAGGAGGAUGAAGUGAAAGAAAGAGCAAAAAGAGAUGCAGCUGCUAGCAAAUGAAGGGAAUACUCAUGGAAAAGUGAUUGGAACCGGCACUGUGUUUGAAUUUUUGAAUUUGUGCAUACAAAUAUAUGGUGAUAUCGGUUUUUAAAUGCACUAAAUUGAAUUAGAUGUAUGUACAUACCUUUGUUUUUCUCUAAUUUGGCUUGAACUGG